GCUGGGUAUGGUGGCGCAUGCCUGUAAUCCCAGAAGCUCAGGAGGUUGAGGCAAGAGGAUUCCAAGUUCAAAGCCAGCCUCAGCAACGGGUGAGGCACUAUGCAAUUCAGUGAGACCCUGUCUCAA
rnacentral:sRNA from 1 species